ensembl:lncRNA
CUCAUUUGCUUCAGCAAGAGGCUGCACUGGAGAGUGGACUUUGUCACAUGUGAGCCACCCACAUCAACAGGAUGGGAACUCAUGUGGAGUGCAUGUCAUAAUGUUUCCCCAAUCUCUCAUUGACGGUAAAACACAAGUGGAGGAGUACAACACUGAAAUCACAAAGCUCAGGUCCCGACUUUGCCACUACUUAUUUUCCUCAAUAGGUAAAGAUAAAAUUAGCCGCCUUCUUUUUCUCUAACAUUGGAAAAUGUAACUUGUACUUAAACAAAUUAUAUUUUGCAGAACGAACUAGGAAGUGCAGUCAGUGCUGGUGUGUGAUUGCAGCCAAAGACCGGGUGCAGUGCCAGAAAUGUGGUGCAUACAAGCACAUGCGUUGUUCAAAGUCUGUUUGUGGCAUCUGUAUCUUCUGUGAGAGUAAGUCACAAUAUACAGCUGUGGUCAAAAGUUUACAUACACUUGUAAAGAAUAGAAUAUAAUGGCUCUACCG